GGCAGUUGGUAUUUUGUGGUGUUUUGAUAGAGGAGAGAAAGGAGAAAGAGGGUGUGAGAGGAAAAUUGAAGUUGCCAUAUUUUACAAGAUUAUGUGAGCUCUACUCUUUUUUCUAGUGUGUCUGUGUGUGUGAAUUUGGCAUUUUUGAAAGAUUCUGUGAGUUUCUUGGUGUGUGUGUGUGUGAAUUUGGGACUUUACAAGAUUAUGUGUGGU